rnacentral:rRNA from 1 species
UGCCCUUUGCCAGCAACCGCGGUAAUACGGAGGAUCCAAGCGUUAUCCGGAAUCAUUGGGUUUAAAGGGUCCGUAGGCGGUUUAAUAAGUCAGUGGUGAAAGCCCAUCGCUCAACGGUGGAACGGSCAUUGAUACUGUUAAACUUGAAUUAUUAGGAAGUAACUAGAAUAUGUAGUGUAGCGGUGAAAUGCUUAGAGAUUACAUGGAAUACCAAUUGCGAAGGCAGGUUACUACUAAUGGAUUGACGCUGAUGGACGAAAGCGUGGGUAGCGARCAGKAUUAURAUACCCUGGGUAGUCC